UUUAAGUUUCAACUCCUAUAUAAUCCCAACAUCAGACUUAAAACCAGGGGAAUUACGACUACUAGAAGUAGACAACUGAGUAGUAUUACCCAUAGAGAUAACAAUCCAAAUACUAAGCUCCUCCAAAGACGUAUUACACUAACGAGCCGUACCUUCCUUAGGCCUAAAAACAGACGCAAUCCCAGGACGCCUAAAUCAAACAACCCUAAUAUCAACACAACCAGGCUUAUUCUACGGGCAGU